AUGAAAAACUGUUAGAAGACGAAUGCUAUGGUGAGGACACUCGACUACCAAACCUGACAGACCUGUCGGGAAAGCAGCUGUUCUUCAUCGCAGAUGCAAUGGUAUGGUGCAGUAAAAUGCGUGCAGCGAAGCGGCGCUCUCUGAUGCAGUACGACACGCACAGCCCCGAGAAAUAUAGAGUCAACGUACCAAUGGAAAACGUGAAAGAAUUUUCAGAGGUAUUCGAAUGCAAAAAUGAUUCGGCGAUGAACCCAUCAAACAAGUGCAGGUUGUGGUAAAGCACUUUCAUAUAGAGUGGGGAAGCAACUCAGCAAGAAAAAGGAGACCAUAACCCAUUACAGGCGUCAAGAACUGACGUAGACUCUCGAGAGAGCCACUCCCCAAAUAAAACAAAAACUUUUUCAUAAAUAAAACAAUCGACAUUU